AGCCAGCCCCAAGGGUGAGCAUCAUAAUUUCAGUGAAACUUUGAACAAUGAAAUCACCCUACAUGCUGCUUGGCUUAAAAAAAACAACAAACGAACGAACGAACGAACGAGAGAAAGCGUGUGUGCGUGCCUGCAUGUGUAUGUAUGUGUAGAGACAGGGAGAAUGCGUUUAACAGGAAAUAUGCAAAACUUAAUUUGAAAUGACGUGAUUGUUAACAAAAUUUAACAGGC